AAUCAAUUGUAAUUAUUUUUACUUCCCCCAAUUCCUUUUUACUUCGAGUUUUCCUCCAUCUUCACCCUUCAACGAAAUCAGCAGAACGACGAUGGAAAACAACACGAUGGAGAUAGAAAUUCACACAACUACAGUGGAGUUAGGCACACUAACAGUGUAAUCCGGCACAACGGUGGUGGAGUUCAGCACAACGAUAGUGAAAUUCAGCACAUCGGUGCUAUUGAUGAGAAUUAAGAGGAAUCAAAGCCACCGACGUCUCUUCACAAGCUCACCGUCAGCAGUCCGUAUUCGUAUAGGCAAAUUCAUCAUCGCCAUUGCCUCAUAUUCGAUCAGAUCGAAUUUUAACGGUACGACGAUGGCGUUGGUGACUACUAAUAUCCAUUUUAUUCAGUUGUUGGGUCAUAAUUGCAGAUAGCAAUCAAACUAGCUAUUGUGGAGUUCGAUUUUUGAUCUCCUAUUUGAAGGAUUAUAUCUUCAUUCUGCCACCGAGACAAAGCUUUUUGUGGAUACUUCAAGAGGAGAAACACUGCGCAUCAAUUUUGAUAUCACCUUUCCAGCAAUUCCAUGUUCAAUUCCCAGUGUUGAUGUCAUGGAUAUCAGUGGAGAGAAACAUCUUGACAUUGCAUAUGGCCUAUAUUAUGGAUACAAAUGAAGAAGAGAGGGUGAAGGGAAUAACAGUUGAAGUUGGAAGAGCACCUUUUGAAAUAGAGACGACGAGAUUUACAAUUCUUGAUGCCCUGGUUAGUAGUGAGCAUUCAUUGACCAAGGAAAUUGUUUGAUAUGCUAAAAAGUUUUCGAGAGCAUGAGAAGAACUCUAAGUGGACAGAAAUUCGAGGAUUUGAAUCCAUAACCAGCCAAGGUGUCAAAGCUUUUAACUGAAAUGAAUUAGGAAAUUUAUAAUUUGAAACAAGAGCCUGAUGUUGGAUCAAGACAGAUCUAUUCCAGUUGAUGAUGAAGUGUUAGCAGAAACAGAAUAAUUGGCACAUACUGCAGAUGCUCGUGACCCCGAAAGAUGCCAUAAUUUAUCUAGUGUAAAUAUUUAUUGAUCAAUUUUUUUGUUUUUACAUUGUUGAAUGCAUUCUUUUAUUUUUUAUAAUUCAUUUUUUUUACCAUGGGAAGACAGAGAAGUGGAUGUGUUGAGUUUGAAUAUUGUUAAGUGAAUGACAUUGUUUGAGUUUGGUAAGUUUGUUUAUUAUUAUCUUUGAA